rnacentral:rRNA from 1 species
AUUGAACGCUGGCGGCGUGCCUAACACAUGCAAGUCGAGCGGUAACGCGGGAGCAAUCCUGGCGACGAGCGGCGAACGGGUGAGUAAUGCUUCGGAAUCUGCCCAAUGGUGGGGAAUAACUAGCCGAAAGGUUAGCUAAUACCGCAUACGACCUACGGGUGAAAGCAGGGGAUCGCAAGACCUUGCGCCGAUGGAUGAGCCGAAGUCGGAUUAGCUAGUUGGUAGGGUAACGGCCUACCAAGGCGACAAUCCGUAGCUGGUCUGAGAGGACGACCAGCCACACUGGGACUGAGACACGGCCCAGACUCCUACGGGAGGCAGCAGUGGGGAAUAUUGGACAAUGGGGGCAACCCUGAUCCAGCGACGCCGCGUGUGUGAAGAAGGCCUGCGGGUUGUAAAGCACUUUUAGUGGGGAUGAAAAGCUCAGGGCUAACACCUCUGGGUCUUGACCUAACCCACAGAAAAAGCACCGGCUAACUCUGUGACAGCAGCCGCCGUAAUAC